rnacentral:rRNA from 1 species
CGGUAAUUCCAGCUCCAAUAGCGUAUACUAACGUUGUUGCAGUUAAAAAGCUCGUAGUUGGAUUUCUGAUCUUUGCCAAUGGUUGUGUCGCCGCGUGCGAGGCGCCUUGCGCAGAGGUCAACAUAUGUCACGAGCCAGUGUGAUCUAUUCAUUUAGGUCCACUGGGUAAUGACUCGUUUACUUUGAGAAAAUUAGAGUGUUCAAAGCAGGCAUUUGCCUUGAAUAUGUUAGCAUGGAAUAAUAGCAUAGGACUUCGGUUCUAUUUGUUGGUUGUUCGAGAACUGGAGUAAUGAUUGAUAGGGACGGUUGGGGGCAUCCGUAUUCUCAAGCGAGAGGUGAAAUUCUUGGACCUUGGGAAGACGAACAGCUGCGAAAGCGUUUGCCUAGGACGUUCUCUUUAAUCAAGAACGAAAGUUGGGGGAUCGAAGACGAUCAGAUACCGUCGUAGUCUCAACUAUAAACUAUGCCAGCUAGGGAUCGGUGGGUCUUUGUCACGAGUCCAUCGGCACCUUACGAGAAAUCAAAGCAUUUGGGUUCCGGGGGGAGUAUGGUCGCAAGGCUGAAACUUAAAGGAAUUGACGGAAGGGCACCACCAGGAGUGGAGCCUGUGGCUUAAUUUGACUCAACACGGGAAAACUUACCAGGUCCGGACAUAGUAAGGAUUGACAGAUUGAAAGCUCUUUCUUGAUUCUAUGGGUGGUGGUGCAUGGCCGUUCUUAGUUGGUGGAGUGAUUUGUCUGGUUAAUUCCGUUAACGAACGAGACCCGCGCCUGCUAAAUAGUCGGCCUCACUUCUGUGGGUGUUGUACUUCUUAGAGGGACCAUCCUGGGUAUACCGGAAGGAAGUUGCGGGCAAUAACAGGUCUGUGAUGCCCUUAGAUGUUCUGGGCUGCACACGGGCUACACUGCAAGAUACAACAAGCGUCGAUCACGCCUGACUGGAAGGUCCGGCCAAUCUUUGAAUAUCUUGCGUGAUUGGGAUAGACCAUUGCAAUUAUUGGUCUUCAACGAGGAAUUCCUAGUAAACACGUGUCAACAACACGCAUUGAUUACGUCCCUGCUCCUUGUACACACCGCCC